UGUUGAAGACGGCAAAGACUGUCUUUUUUACCUUGGUGUGCCCAGAUUCAUUUUCUUAAAGGAGUAGAAAAUUUCAAGAUAAAAAAUGAAUUGCUGAUUUUUCCUUUACAACUCAUUGUUUGUCCUGUCUCUUUAUCUGUGGGUAAACUUUGUUUGUCACGACGUUUGGGCGGCCGUUGUUGCACUUUCCGUCGAGUUCCUCUGUUGAGAAACGAAGGAUGCUCACAAAGAGGUGGGCCACGUUGUGUGUGCAUAGUUCGAUAUGUCGAACCUUCCCAGUAAGCGUCAUGGUGGCUGUUUAGAAUUUAACCCCUUGACAGUCUUAACCAAAGAUAGCAUCCUUGACAUGGAAGUUUACAACUUACCAUCUUCGGUGGUUCUAAGAUGUCCUCUGCCCUCCGAGUGGGUGACAGAUACACGGUUAGAUGAAAUCCCUAUAUAAGUAAAAGAGAAGUACAAAAAUGCUUCCGGGUCGGGUCAAUUACAAAAAAUAACCCAAAAUUAAAGUUGUCGGAUUCGGGUUAGAAAUAUCCACGACGUUAUAAAUGGGUUAUCAGGUUAUAUUAAAUGAAAACUUAAAUAGAUUUUCCAAAAAAUAUAUAUAGUACUUACGAGAAUAUUUUUGGUUCCUGUAAUUUAGUAAACUAACAUACAAUUAGUAUUAUGUUAGUCGACAACAUUUCAAUUUCGGAAACUAUAAUUAUGGUAUUUUAAAUUAUAGAAGUACAAGCAGAACAUUUACUACGCAAUUUUGAAUUAUAGAAAUAUCAUUUAGUUACAAAGAUAUUUCCUUUCAAACUGUACCUAAUUUUUAGUCAUAUAAUUGAUUUAGAUACCGUAAAUCUCAUUAAAACUAUCCUAACUAACAUAUCCCAAAAAUAUUUCCUUCCAAGAUUUGAUUACCGAAUUACAUAUGGUUAAUAUUUCAAAAAUUAGGAGAAUAUAUCCUAAAAUCCCCUAUAUAUUAAAAGAGAAACAUUCUCUAAAAAAAGCUGAUGUGUCAUCCCCAGAGAGCUUUGUACCCAAUUUAUUAUUUACCUUUAAUAUUUUAUAAUAUUACAUACAACUGCCACUGCUAUUUUUUUGUCAACUACCACUGCUGC